AGCAGCGUGGGGAAGCAGUCUAUCCCGCUUGGCUCAUAACCAGGAGAUCGCCGGUGCAAAUCCGGCCGCUGCAA
rnacentral:tRNA from 2 species